rnacentral:rRNA from 1 species
UACGGAGGAUCCAAGCGUUAUCCGGAAUCAUUGGGUUUAAAGGGUCCGUAGGCGGUUUAAUAAGUCAGUGGUGAAAUCCCAUCGCUCAACGGUGGAACGGCCAUUGAUACUGUUAGACUUGAAUUAUUAGGAAGUAACUAGAAUAUGUAGUGUAGCGGUGAAAUGCUUAGAUAUUACAUGGAAUACCAAUUGCGAAGGCAGGUUACUACUAAUGGAUUGACGCUGAUGGACGAAAGCGUGGGUAGCGAACAGG